UGCUUUUUCUUUGCUUAUAUUAAUAAAACAUACUGGUUUCUUACUACUUGAUGAUUAAUUAAAAACAAACAAACAAACAAAUAAGAUGUAUUAGUUUAAGACCUAUUCAUCUUUUUUAUUUAGUAAUGUAGUUUAUGUUUUGUAUAUCUUGUUCAUCCUGAAGUAGCAUCUAUUGAAUUUUGCCUUGGAAGCUUUGUGAGAUAAGUUUACCAUGAUUUUCAUUUGUUUUUAUCUUAAUUAACUAUCAUUUUACUAAAAUCAGGAAAUCUUUUUCUUUUAUGAUGAUGAUUUUCCCUGUAUAAAGUAAUAGGGCAUCUAUUAUUUUCAUAAAAAAAUCAUUAUGGUGUAAUAUGCCAUAAGCUUGAAUAGGACUUAAUUUAUUUGUUAAAUCUCAUGCCAAAGCAAUAUCACGAUAUCAGUUGAUAAUACGACUUCAACCUACAUGCAUAAUUUACUUUAGGUCUUCACUUUUAUGUUAAAUUUUAAAUUAGUAUUAACAAUAAAUUAUAUAUCAUUAUUUUUCUACCAACUCAGAAAUAAAUUCAUAAUAGGAUAGUAUAUCAAAACAUAGUGAAUCAGGCUUACUCAAUAAUAUGUUUGCCAAUAUCAAGGUAUAUAUAUAUAAAUACUCCACUUGUUAUUGCUUUGUAGGUUUGCAUCAUGGUUCCUCAAAUAUGUAUACUAAUUAAGUUUUUUAAAUAAGAAUCAAUAUCUGGUUUUGUGUUAGAACAAGUAAGAAUCUGUGCAAGAAAACAAAGGAUGAAAAAUCCUUUUAAAAAAGGGGGGAAAAGUGCAUGAGUGCAUAAAAAGAGAAAAACUCCAUGGUAAGUAACCUUGGCUUUUCACCCCUAAGGAAACAAACCAGUAAACCCAAUGAGGUAUGAGAUCCCCAAUGAAAUCAACUAGAGAAGAGACUCAUCUCUUGCCAAACUAUGCCUUCCUGAUUAGUUGAAUUAAGCUUCCAUAAAUAGAGAAACUCUAUACCCUCUUAAUUCUUUGUAUCCAAUGGCAGUAUCUAUAAAACCUUUAACCACCCAAGACACAAUUGUCGCGGAAUCCCCUCCAAUGGUAAAUUGGUGACAACCUAACUUUCUCAUAGUUUUGAGACCGUCAAAUAAAACAAAUAUUUCUUUUUCAAUAGUUAGCCCAUAAUUCGCUUCCUUAAACAAAGCUUGAAUAUUCUCACCCCUAUGGUCCUGAAUGAAUCCUUCAUUCCAUUUGGUUUGGAUUAAUUAAGCUUCAAAACACCAAUUGAUGGACAAACCCACUCAGCCUGUAUAACAAACAAAACAUACUAACCUUGCAAAAUAAUGUUAAAAGGAACUAUCUAAAACUCCUUGGUGAUUGACGUUGAGAAAAUGUGAGGCAAUAGAUAUUCUCCCAAAGAUGAGUCAUUGAGGGGGGUGGGGGUUUGACAGUCAAUCUAGACUGAUUCUUGGUGUUAAAAGGGCAGGAAGGUCAUUUUAGUGUACACUGCCAAACCCUGUGUUGGAUCACACCUAUUUUGCUAGAUUGGGGAUGGAUCAGGAAAGGUUUUAUCCUUUUCAGGUUCAAAAAUAUGUGGUUGAAGGAGGUGGGCUUCAAAGACUUAAAGGGUGGUGGAUGUGGUAUGAUUUUAGAGGCUCUUAUGGCUUCAUUUUGGCUGUGAAAUUGAAAGCGUGGAAAUCACAUUUUAAAAUUCAGAAUAGAGGUGUUUGGUAAUGUUUCAAUUAGGAAGGAGAUGUCCUUCAAUGAGGCAAGCUUUUGGAACUCUAAGGAGAGGGAGCGGCCCCUUUCUUAUAAGGAAAGAUGAAGAGUGGGGAGUUGCAAAGGAGGAAGUAUUGUAGGUGGGCUCUUUUUAAAGAAGCCUUGUGUAAGGUGAUAGAAACACAAAGUUCUUUCAUAAAAUGGUUAAUUCUCACAGAAGGAGAAAUUUUAUGGCUAGGAUUAAUCUUAAAGAAAAGGGUUGUAGAGGGCUUGAAAAACUUUAGCCUAUUAGCUUAGUGGGUGUUCUGUAUGAACUUCUAACUAAAGUUUUGGCAAAGAGACUAAAAAAGGUGGUGGAAAAAGUGAUGUCCAAAUUCUAUAAUGCUUUUAUAGAGGGAAAACAAAUUCUUGAUGCGGUUCUUGUAGCCAAUGAACUUGUAGACUCUAUGUUGAAGAGCAAUGCUUGUGGUGUCAUGUGUAAGCUA